rnacentral:lncRNA from 1 species
CUUAGUCAUGGCUGGGUCAAUCUUGUGAGAGCAGAGGAUACAUACCAAAUGUGCCAUAAGAAGAAAAUUACAAAAAGCAUUCUUUAUUUUCUCACAGAACAACAAAAAAUACUAAAAUUCAACUAGAAAUCAACUGUUCAAAGUAGACCAAAAGUAAAUCUCACAGUCGUAAUGCAUCCAGCAAAAAGACAAACAUUAAAAGCUUCUUUUUAACACUUGCUACUCUAAAAAAAUCAUCACUUGUUCAAGUGAUGUGAGCAACUGCAAAACACAUUCACACCUAUUAUAAAGAAGAAAAAGCUAAAUGUCUCACUUUACGAUAAACAAAAAUUAAAUUACUGGGAAGACACAAUGUGUUGCUGAGCAGUUACAAAAAUAAUGUCAGUAUAUGGCGCUGCACAGAAAACUAAUCUGUCACUUGUUGACAUGCAAGUCAUUUUAUUUCGAUACAAUGAAAUCACUAUCAUAGGCUUAGGCUGCAAUGUAACAUUUUUGUAAAUUUUACACACGGCAUCAUCAAUUUAUUACCUUUGUGUAAAAAUACCGCCCCAGCUGUCAGACAGCUUUGACAGUCACUAAUAAGUUUUAAUAUUGUUCAUGAAUGAAUCCCAUUAUAAAAUGCCUGUGUGAACAACAAAGUACUAAAAACAAGCUGAAAAAGGAGAAAGACAAUACAAGAAAAGCAAAUUGAGCAGAUUUCUGCAAAUGAAAAAUUAUUUUUUAGUCUCAUUGAGCAUUUGUACCUGAACAACAUUUUAUCCAUGCGUGGAAUGGAAGGACAGGUUGCGUACUGUGGCACAUGCGCAAACUGUUCACAAAACUAAUGUUUUUGCAAAUCUUCUUCUUCUUUCUGGGGUUUUACGUGCCAAAACCAGUAAUGUUUUUGCAAAUAACAGAGCCGUUUAUGAACAUUGCAAAAAUCAGGUGCUCAUAUAAGUAAAUCACAUCUUCAUUUGCCUCAACCAGCCGUAAAUUGAAUCAAGGCAUAAAAAUAAAGUGACAUAAAAUUAACAUUAACUAAAAAUGAGCAACAAUAACAGUUCCACUUCACGACAUACUAAUGAGCUAAUGCCAGUGAAGACAUAACAAGGGUAGCAUGAAAAAUGCAUGACUUCUCACUGGCCAUCUUUCGCUGCCACACGAAGCUGACGUAAAGACAUUUAGAAUCUGCACGGCCGUACAAUCAAUGAAAAAACAACAGCAGUUCGGACAAGACAAUUUCCCAGCCACAACAAUCUCAAAUUUUCUAAGAUAACACACUGUUACAAAUGGUGUUUAUUGAAAACUGCAAUGCCAGUUUACUUGGAAACUCCUACUACAGCAGCUGCCACAUGUUCUCUUCAACAUUCAGCAUCGCCAUGCCCAACAAUGCAUAACAAUUCUAAAAAAACUACAUUCUUUCAAGGCAGCACAAGCUCAUUUCAAGUGCCACAGUAAUAAACAUGAAAUGUUCCCGACUAGCUAGAAUUUUGUACUGCUUGCACACACACAUUAAACAAAGACAGUGGUCAAAAAUGUGCACCAGGAAGUAUCAUACAAGUGACCACUGAUAAUGCAAACCUAUCAAAGACACGCUCUGCCACAUUUGCUUUGCAGCAAGUGUCUCUCAACCUCAGAUCCCACAGCGCCAAGUAUAAGUACAGUCAAACCUUGAUAUUCAAUGCACUCGAAUAUAACAAAUCUAAACGUUUCUUGCCGAAAUCAGUAUGUAAUGCAUUGAACGAGACUUCGGAAGUUCGACUGUACAACGAUGAAAGCAAGAUAAACACACAAAACAUUGCUUCAAAUGUUGAGCAUGAAAUGAACACAUAAGAAAGCAAAUAAAAACAAGAUUAAUAGCAAAUAACUGCUCUGGGCCAAAUGCGAACACUGUGCAGACAAGCAAACAAAUUACGUAUGGGCAACCCUGGACUUAAUGACACAUAAUGUUACGAAUUUCCCAACAUUAUGAUAAAUUAUGACGUAUAAGUGAGGCCAGACUGCUCUUUUCAAACA